rnacentral:rRNA from 1 species
UUAGUGGCGAACGGGUGAGUAACACGUGGGCAAUCUGCCCUGCACUCUGGGACAAGCCCUGGAAACGGGGUCUAAUACCGGAUACUGAUCCUCGCAGGCAUCUGCGAGGUUCGAAAGCUCCGGCGGUGCAGGAUGAGCCCGCGGCCUAUCAGCUAGUUGGUGAGGUAACGGCUCACCAAGGCGACGACGGGUAGCCGGCCUGAGAGGGCGACCGGCCACACUGGGACUGAGACACGGCCCAGACUCCUACGGGAGGCAGCAGUGGGGAAUAUUGCACAAUGGGCGAAAGCCUGAUGCAGCGACGCCGCGUGAGGGAUGACGGCCUUCGGGUUGUAAACCUCUUUCAGCAGGGAAGAA